AUUGAACGCUGGCGGCAGGCCUAACACAUGCAAGUCGAGCGGCAGCGGGAAAGUAGCUUGCUACUUUUGCCGGCGAGCGGCGGACGGGUGAGUAAUGCCUGGGGAUCUGCCCAGUCGAGGGGGAUAACUACUGGAAACGGUAGCUAAUACCGCAUACGCCCUACGGGGGAAAGCAGGGGACCUUCGGGCCUUGCGCGAUUGGAUGAACCCAGGUGGGAUUAGCUAGUAGGUGAGGUAAAGGCUCACCUAGGCGACGAUCUCUAGCUGUUCUGAGAGGAUGGACAGCCACACUGGAACUGAGACACGGUCCAGACUCCUACGGGAGGCAGCAGUGGGGAAUAUUGGACAAUGGGCGAAAGCCUGAUCCAGCCAUGCCGCGUGUGUGAAGAAGGCCUUCGGGUUGUAGAGCACUUUCAGUAGGGAGGAAAGGUUGUUGGUUAAUAGCCAAUAGCUGUGACGUUACCUACAGAAGAAGCACCGGCUAACUCCGUGCCAGCCGC
rnacentral:rRNA from 1 species